AUGGGCGCAGCCUGACGCAGCACGCCGCGUGAGGGAUGAAGGCCUUCGGGUUGUAAACCUCUUUCGACCGGGACGAAUAUGGACGGUCCCUGCGAAAAAACCCCGGGCCAACUACGUGCCAGCACCCCCGGAAU
rnacentral:rRNA from 1 species